UCCCAGGUCUUUCCCUAGUUGUCAUGAAAUAAGUGUUUUAUUACCUAACCUACUACUAGUAUAUAAUUUCUUAAAAUGAUGAUAUAGCGUAAUAAUCAAAUGGAUUUUAGAAUAAAUCGGCCAAAUUUUUUAUUUCUUGAAAUCAAACUGAACAAUAGACUAACCAAAUUCUCACGCCGAUUGGUUUAAAAACAAUAUAUAAUAAAAUAUCAAUUUAUCAGUGCCUCAUUUGUAAACAACCUUAUAAUGUCUUGAAGGUUUGAAUGUUAUAACAUGCUGAAAACAAAUUAUGUCAUCAUGUCUCGAUUAAGCUGUUCCAUUUAACACCAGCGGGAAAAUUUGUUUGCUUACCUGUGUAUGGAAUGCAGACGAUUUUAGCUUUCAUUACAUUAAAGAUAGCCUUUGUAAAUUACAUAUAUGUAUUGAUUUGUUUUGAUGAAUAUACAAUAACAAAAUCA